rnacentral:rRNA from 1 species
CGCGUAGGCGGCCUGUUAAGUCAGAUGUGAAAUUUAGGGGCUCAACCCCUAGCGUGCAUCUGAAACUGGCAAGCUAGAGUAUGGAAGAGGUAAGUGGAAUUCCUAGUGUAGCGGUGAAAUGCGUAGAUAUUAGGAGGAACACCAGUGGCGAAGGCGACUUACUGGGCCAUAACUGACGCUGAUGCGCGAAAGCGUGGGGAGCAAACA